rnacentral:lncRNA from 1 species
UUGGUUAUAUACUUGUCUAGGACUUACCGUUGGAAAAACUCUAAAAUCAUCAUUAUCCCGAGUUUCUUAGGCUGGGGUUCUUAGAGAAAUAUAAAAAUUGUUUCUUAAUUUUUAACUAAAAAUUUAAGAAACUUAAAAUACUACUUUAAAAAACUCUUGAUAAUGAUGCUCUAAAAGCACCUUCAAUGGUUAGAAACCAUGAAAGUUUCUAAAACAAAAGAAAAAUAUUAGUAUUAUAAUUAUUUAUUUAUUUUUUAUUUUCUUUAAAUUAGUUAAUUAUCUAUUUGAAUGACAUGUGUCCUUUUAUUAUCUCAUAGUUUCUUAAGAAUUCAUAACUAAGUUCAUUUUUUUUUCUAAUU